UUGCCUGUAGCUCAGUCUGGUUAGAGCACGCGCCUGAUACGCGCGGUGUCACCGGUUCAAGUCCGGUCAGGCAAACCA
rnacentral:tRNA from 1 species